UUUUUUUUUUUUUUUUUUUGAGACAGAGUCUGGCUCUGUCACCCAGGCUGGAGUGCAGUGGCUUGAUCUUGGCUCACUGCAACCUCUCUCUCCCAGGUUCAAGUUGAUUCUCCUGCUUCACCCUCCCAAGUAGCUGGGAUUACAGGCCCCUGCCAGCAUGCUCGGCUAAUUGCUGUAUUUUUAGUAGAGAUGGGGUUUAACCAUGAUGGCCAGGCUGGUCUUAAACUCCUGACCUCAGGUGAUCUGCCUACCUUGGCCUCCCAAAGUGCCGGGAUUAUAGGUGUGAGCCACAGUGCCUGGCCUCUUCUUCUGAAAGUAUGAGAUUUGGGAUUCUGUGCAAUGCAUUUUCCCCAAUUUAUCUCAUUAUCACAUUAUCUCAGCCUUCCAUGUUGGAAUCAUUACCUCAUUUUGCAAACAAGGGAAUUGAAACUCAGAAUUGUUAAGCAAUUUGCUGAAAGUCUCAUAGCUACUGGCUAAACUGGGAUUCCCAUUUAGAUCUGUCUUAUUGAAAGUCUGUAUUCUUUGACAAUGAUGAUAUCAUCAUCAUCAACAACAAUAAUUCGUUGACUGGUAUUGAGUGUUAAUUAUGUGCCAGGCACUGUGCUGAACGCUUGCCAUGGAUUAUCUCAUUGAAUUUUCAUUCAAUGUAGGUUAUACAUUAUCCCCAUUUUAUAGGUAAGAGAAACUGAGGUUUAGAGUAGUUAAGUAGUAGACUGAAGGCCACUCAACUUGAAAGCACCAGGGGCAGAGCUCAAAUACUUCCUUGUGUGAUACCAGUGCUGCAAGGACAUGAACACUGCUAACUGGUGAUCUACUCAAGUCUUACUAGUUCAUGCAUUCAAUCCAGAAUGUCUUUGCCUUGAGGGCUAUCACAUUCAAUCCCCUUAUUCAAUGAAAAAAUUAACUGAGCUUUAAGGAACACCCCUCCUACCUGUAUUCCCUUCUCAAAGGAAAUUUUUGGCUACUUAAAAGAGAAAGUUCUGGACUUGGCUUUCUUCCUUAUAACAACUGAGACCAUUCACUCUUCCCUAAAUCCUAUAUUGUCCUCUGCCAAGGAGCUAGCUCAGAGCCCUGACCCUUGGCUUAACAGGGAUGGCUACUUCUGGAGACUUGAUUGGGUCAGCUGUUCUCCAUCCAAAGUUCCUCGCUCUGUUUUGGAUACAUUCUUUAUCAGCACAGCUUCACUGUGGGGACAGUUUAUUGGGCUACUGCUGUCCUGGCUUCCCUUUGUCAUUCAUCUUUUGCCUCCAAAGGUCUGAUCCCACAUCUGGCAAGAGGGAUCUGGCCUUCAAUUUGAAUCUAAUGUCAUACAGGUUGGCCCUGCUUCCUGAAGAAGCUAUUGCAAUGGCCAGUGAAGACCAGCUUUUUGGUAUUGCCUAUUUCCUUUCUGUUCUUUUCUCCUACUCUCAGUCUGUCUAUCCCCCAGCUCCUAGCAUUUGCCCAGCACCCAAAUCCUCCAUUUCAUGGCUUAUCUUUUACAAGCUGUAACUUUGAGCAAGAUAUGGAAAGAGGCAACGGUUCCAUAGGAAUGAAGGCGAUUUGCAGCGGGGUGGAGAGAAAAGUCCCAGGCAGGGGGUGUGGAGACUUCUCAGUGCCCUGCCUCCAUCUCAGUCAUUUCCAGUCCAGGAGAGACACUGCAGCUGGUGAUAUUUCCAAAACAUACAUCUGCUCAAAAUCCUGUAUUGAUUCCCAGUCGCCUAUCAACUUUGGUGACACAAAUUUGAAUGUACAUCAAUACCAGCUGGUGAGUGUGUGAAAAUGCAGAUUCCUAGGUGAGCACUCUCAGAGAUCCUGAUUCAGUGGAGGGGGGUGAUCUGUGUGUGCCAGAGCCUCUGCGUGAUUAUGAUAUAGAUGGUCCCAGAACCGAAGAACAUUGGAAAGCCUUGAUCUGCAAAGUCCAAACUCCUCGGCCCGUGCAUUAGUCUGCUCAAGGUACCAUAGCAAACUAUCAUAGACUGAGUGCCUU
ensembl:lncRNA